UACGUAGGUGGCAAGCGUUGUCCGGAUUUACUGGGCGUAAAGAGCGCGCAGGCGGUUUUGUAAGACAGAUGUGAAAUCCCCGGGCUCAACCUGGGAACUGCGUUUGUGACUGCAAGACUCGAGUGCGGCAGAGGGGGGUGGAAUUCCACGUGUAGCAGUGAAAUGCGUAGAGAUGUGGAGGAACACCGAUGGCGAAGGCAGCCCCCUGGGUCGACACUGACGCUCAUGCACGAAAGCGUGGGGAGCAAACAGG
rnacentral:rRNA from 1 species